AGUGAACGCUGGCGGUAGGCCUAACACAUGCAAGUCGAACGGCAGCACAGUAAGAGCUUGCUCUUACGGGUGGCGAGUGGCGGACGGGUGAGGAAUACAUCGGAAUCUACUUUUUCGUGGGGGAUAACGUAGGGAAACUUACGCUAAUACCGCAUACGACCUACGGGUGAAAGCAGGGGAUCUUCGGACCUUGCGCGAUUGAAUGAGCCGAUGUCGGAUUAGCUAGUUGGCGGGGUAAAGGCCCACCAAGGCGACGAUCCGUAGCUGGUCUGAGAGGAUGAUCAGCCACACUGGAACUGAGACACGGGCCAGACUCCUACGGGAGGCAGCAGUGGGGAAUAUUGGACAAUGGGCGCAAGCCUGAUCCAGCCAUACCGCGUGGGUGAAGAAGGCCUUCGGGUUGUAAAGCACUUUUGUUGGGAAAGAAAAGCAGCAGGUUAAUACCCCGCUGUUCUGACGGUACCCAAAGAAUAAGCACCGGCUAACUUCG
rnacentral:rRNA from 1 species